UACAGAGGGUGCAAGCGUUGUUCGGAAUUAUUGGGCGUAAAGGGCGCGUAGGCGGUGCGGUAAGUCUGUCGUGAAAUCUCUGGGCUCAACUCAGAGUCUGCUGCAGAAACUGCCGUGCUUGAGUGUGGGAGAGGUGAGUGGAAUUCCCGGUGUAGCGGUGAAAUGCGCAGAUAUCAGGAAGAACACCCGUGGCGAAAGCGGCUCUCUGGAACGGUACUGACGCUGAGACGCGAAAGCGUGGGGAGCGAACAGG
rnacentral:rRNA from 1 species